UACGUAGGGCGCAAGCGUUGUUCGGAAUUACUGGGCGUAAAGGGCUCGUAGGCGGCCAACUAAGUCAGACGUGAAAUCCCUCGGCUUAACCGGGGAACUGCGUCUGAUACUGGAUGGCUUGAGAUUGGGAGAGGGAUGCGGAAUUCCAGGUGUAGCGGUGAAAUGCGUAGAUAUCUGGAGGAACACCGGUGGCGAAGGCGACAUCCUGGACCAACACUGACGCUGAGGAGCGAAAGCCAGGGGAGCAAACGGG
rnacentral:rRNA from 1 species